AACGAACGCUGGCGGCAGGCUUAACACAUGCAAGUCGAACGCACUCUUCGGAGUGAGUGGCAGACGGGUGAGUAACGCGUGGGAACCUACCUAGUGGUAUGGAAUAACUCAGGGAAACUUGAGCUAAUACCGUAUACGCCCUCCUUUAGAGAUAUUGGGGGGGAAAGAUUUAUCGCCAUUAGAUGGGCCCGCGUCGGAUUAGCUUGUUGGUGGGGUAAUGGCCUACCAAGGCGACGAUCCGUAGCUGGUCUGAGAGGAUGAUCAGCCACACUGGGACUGAGACACGGCCCAGACUCCUGCGGGAGGCAGCAGUGGGGAAUAUUGGACAAUGGGGGAAACCCUGAUCCAGCCAUGCCGCGUGAGUGACGAAGGCCUUAGGGUUGUAAAACUCUUUCACCGGUGAAGAUAAUGACGGUAGCCGGAGAAGAAGCCCCGGCUAACUCCGUG
rnacentral:rRNA from 1 species